rnacentral:rRNA from 1 species
GACAGAGGGUGCAAACGUUGCUCGGAAUUACUGGGCGUAAAGCGCGUGUAGGCGGGUCUUUAAGUCAGGGGUGAAAUGCCAAGGCUCAACCUUGGAACUGCCUUUGAUACUGGAGACCUUGAGUCCGGGAGAGGUGAGUGGAAUUGCGAGUGUAGAGGUGAAAUUCGUAGAUAUUCGCAAGAACACCAGUGGCGAAAGCGGCUCUCUGGGACGGUACUGACGCUGAGACGCGAAAGCGUGGGGAGCAAACAGG